ACUUUGUAGAAACUUAGUGGUUAGUGCUUAGCUUUCCUUUUCUAGUUAACAGCAGGUUGGUUAGUUUUCUACCCUCUGUCUUUAGUCCCUAGCCUAGGGACAAUGCUGUGCUCAUUUAGCCUUAGUCUUUCUGUGUUUGUUUUUUUUUUAUUCCAACAGCCUAUUUAUAAAGUUCCUCUCUGUGCUUUGAUUUCUCUUCUCUUGGAGGGAACAAAGGCUACAUAUUUCCUUGCUGCUGCUGCUAAGUCAUUUCAGUCGUGUCCAACUCUGUGCAACCCCUUGGUCGGCAGCCCACCAGGCUCCCCUGUCCAUAGGAUUCUCUAGGCAAGAACAGUGGAGUGGGUUGCCGUUUCCUUCAGGGCUUUUCAAAUAAUGUAGCUUGGCUCAGGUGUUGAAUGAGCUCCUAAAAGGAGGUUUAACCCAGUACUCUUUCCUUGGAGACCUUCAGCGGCUAUGAGUCUCACAGUGCACUGGACCUGGCAUGAUUUUACUGUCCCCUGGCUGGAUAGAGCUGCCACACUCCACCUGGCAACUCCUUUUAAAUUUGGAUUGAGUUUUGUGAGCCCUGAAGGCUAUUUUGGAUCCAACUGUAAGCUCCUGCCAGGACGGGGGUCUCUCUGCUUCCUUUGUAGUUUGCUCACACACCUCGGCUGUUACAUAUAGACUAUAGUUUACAUUUGUAACUCUACUAUUAACUGCCGCUACCACUUGUAUUGGCCAAAGCCAAAGAACUGAAAUAUUAAGAAGUGAAUCUUGGGAUUUCCCUGGCAGUCUGGUGGUUAAGACUCCGAGCUUCCACUGCAGGGGGCACGAGUUUGAUCCCUGAUUGGCGAACUAAAAUCCUACCUGCUGAGCACAGUGGCCAAAUAAAAAGAAAAAGAAAAAAAAAGAGCACACAUGGAGACAACAGAAAGCCUCAUCGCUUAUUUUGUGCAACAAUCCUCUGAUGUCCUGACCACCGUUGACAGGACCAGACGUGGGGAGGACCUAGGUUGGACCAGAGUCCCCUCCCCAGGGAGUCUAGCCUAACUUCUGGAUACUGUCUUAAAUGGAGACAAUGAAAGCAUGAGACCUAGAUCUGCCAUUUUGCACCGUGUAGCCUGGUCUUCGAAGAAAGUGCCUCUUUAAUGAGAGAAAAAAAAAUAGAGUACAAUCACAGCAAGGGACAGAGAUAAAAAAAGACCUCAGGCUUUCCAGUCCUGCUGCUAGUCCCUGUCGGCUGAGGCUAUAUGUCCCCGCCCAGAAUUUUAAUAACAAUUCAUCCCUUUUCACACUGGCUAAAUCCCUGAUAAGGCUCCUGCUGCUCUUUUAUUAUUAUUAAUUAUUUGUAUUGAAGUAUACACUUUGCUGUACAGUAAAGUGUAUCAGUUAUACGUAUACAUAUAUCU
ensembl:lncRNA